rnacentral:rRNA from 1 species
UACGGAGGGUGCGAGCGUUGUCCGGAAUCACUGGGCGUAAAGGGCGCGUAGGUGGCGCAGGAAGUCCACGGUGAAAGUUCGGGGCUCAACCCUGAAUCGGCCGUCGAUACUCCUGGGCUCGAGCACUGUAGAGGCAGAUGGAAUUCCGGGUGUAGCGGUGGAAUGCGUAGAGAUCCGGAAGAACACCGGUGGCGAAGGCGGUCUGCUGGGCAGUUGCUGACACUGAGGCGCGACAGCGUGGGGAGCAAACAGG